AUGAGGCUAAGCAGCAGGGGCUGCUGCCUGAGAACCUUUCAAGACACCGGCACUUUUAUUUAUUUAUUCUUCCACUUUUCUUAUAAAAUCAUCCAGAAUCUUUUCACUGUUCCUGAGAACUUCAGCUUUGCCUUCUUUUAUGAGGAGGUGGAGGAGUUGAUACCUCCUGCUGCCUCCUCUGACCCUCUUGCUCCUUCUCUGCCAUCACAUCACAUGAGUACAAGUCCUUUCCUUCAGGCAGCUUUUUCACUAUUUGUGCAGGGGGAGGAACCAUGCACACUGAUGAGAUUUGAGAUCAGCCACAAUUUGGAGUGGAGACUGGAGCUAGGGAGAGAAUGAAGGUACAGGAGACAUGAAAACAAAAGGAAAUGUCCAUUUAAAAUGGACAGACUCAGUAUUGAAGACCUUGCUUACAGACAAGUGUCAAGCUGAAUUCUGCAUUUGAUUCUGCUGCCUCUAAUAAUCAAGUGGAAAAGAGCCACAGCAAUCUGAAGGUAUGGCUCUUGGGAAACACACCCAAUUUGUUCUUACCAGAUAACUUCCACAGCCAGUACCAGACCUCUGAAAAGCCCAGAAGAGAAGGCCUCUCAAAUCCAAGCAAUUUAAAUUCAAUGAAUGUGAUUUGGCUUGCAGUUAGUUCCCUAGGAAGUAAUGAAAGAGGUAAUUAAAAGACUGGACAACUGCUUUAAGUAAAACAUUAUGCAUUAGAGUGAAAGCAUUUCAGAUAAACUGUUUCCAGGCCAUGAAAGCCAGCUCUUUGUCUCUCUGUGCAUCACUACAGUGCCCCAGUUGCAGAUGGGGAAAUGACACCUCCUUUCUGAAGGUCCCACCACAUCCCGCUUCUGUUUGUGAAGGAGGAGAGACACUUAUGUUAGAACAUGUAGAAACAUUCAUGAAAUGUUAGGAAUUUCCUUUACUCACUCCUCUCCAACAACUUUACUCCCCCUAUGUCAUCCUCAAAGACCUGCCCUCAACUUUCUUCUGGUACAGCAGUGGAACAAAAGAAUCCCUCUUCCCUGAAAGAGGUGGAUUCCUUUGAGUUAAAGAUCUAAGGGAUGCUGGGAGGAUGCACUGAGAGUGAAAAGGGGUAAUUCAGGUGAAGUCUUGGACAAUGGAAUUUGAUCAGCACCUUCCUUUUUAGAAAGCAAAAAAUACUGCUGGUGUCAGGGAGAGAGUAAGUCCCAGCCAUGUCAAGGACAAUGCUCCAAUGGCAAGCAGCAGAGCAGGCAGAAAAUUGUUCUCUGAAGAGGGAAAACAUUUACUAUUCAGUCAAGGAACUGGGUGAUUUCCAACUUCCUAAAAGCCUAGGAUAAAAAAAAACCUCACCCAAUCAUAAAAAAUACAAAAGACCCCCUUUAAAUAAAUUUACCUAUGUGAAGGUGAAUAGCA
rnacentral:lncRNA from 1 species